rnacentral:rRNA from 1 species
UACGGAGGGUGCAAGCGUUAUCCGGAAUCACUGGGUUUAAAGGGUGCGUAGGCGGUCUAAUAAGUCAGUCGUGAAAUCGCUGGGCUUAACCCAUGCAAUUGCGAUUGAUACUGUUAGACUUGAAUGGGGUUGAGGCUGGCGGAAUGCGACAUGUAGCGGUGAAAUGCUUAGAUAUGUCGCAGAACACCGAUUGCGAAGGCAGCCAGCUGGGCCUUUAUUGACGCUGAGGCACGAAAGCGUGGGGAGCAAACAGGAUUAGAAACCCCGAGUAGUCC